UGGGGAAUAUUGCACAAUGGGCGCAAGCCUGAUGCAGCCAUGCCGCGUGUAUGAAGAAGGCCUUCGGGUUGCAAAGUACUUUCAGUCGGGAGGAAGGUGUCAAGGUUAAUAACCUUGGCAAUUGACGUUACCGACAGAAGAAGCACCGGCUAACUCCGUGCCAGCAGCCGCGGUAAUACGGAGGGUGCAAGCGUUAAUCGGAAUUACUGGGCGUAAAGCGCACGCAGGCGGUUGAUUGAGUCAGAUGUGAAAUCCCCGGGCUUAACCCGGGAAUUGCAUCUGAUACUGGUCAGCUAGAGUCUUGUAGAGGGGGGUAGAAUUCCAUGUGUAGCGGUGAAAUGCGUAGAGAUGUGGAGGAAUACCGGUGGCGAAGGCGGCCCCCUGGACAAAGACUGACGCUCAGGUGCGAAAGCGUGGGGAGCAAACA
rnacentral:rRNA from 1 species